GAUUGAACUGAAGAGUUUGAUCCUGGCUCAGAUUGAACGCUGGCGGCAUGCUUUACACAUGCAAGUCGAACGGUAACGCGGACUUCGGUCUGGCGACGAGUGGCGAACGGGUGAGUAAUNCAUCGGAACGUAUCCAUUUGUGGGGGAUAGCCCGGCGAAAGCCGGAUUAAUACCGCAUAAUCUCCGAGGAGGAAAGUGGGGGACCUUCGGGCCUUACGCUGAUGGAGCGGCUGAUGUCGGAUUAGCUUGUUGGUAGGGUAAAGGCCUACCAAGGCGACGAUCCGUAGCUGGUCUGAGAGGACGACCAGCCACACUGGAACUGAGACACGGUCCAGACUCCUACGGGAGGCAGCAGUGGGGAAUUUUGGACAAUGGGGGCAACCCUGAUCCAGCCAUGCCGCGUGCGGGACGAAGGCCUUCGGGUUGUAAACCGCUUUCAGACGGAAAGAAACAGCACAAGCUAAUAACUUGUGCGAAUGACGGUACCGUCAGAAGAAGCACCGGCUAACUACGUGCCAGCAGCCGCGGUAAUACGUAGGGUGCGAGCGUUAAUCGGAAUUACUGGGCGUAAAGAGUGCGCAGGCGGCUCUCUAAGACAGGUGUGAAAUCCCCGGGCUUAACCUGGGAAUGGCGCUUGUGACUGGAGAGCUAGAGUGUGGCAGAGGGGAAUGGAAUUCCUGGUGUAGCAGUGAAAUGCGUAGAUAUCAGGAGGAACACCGAUGGCGAAGGCAGUUCCCUGGGCCAACACUGACGCUCAUGCACGAAAGCGUGGGGAGCAAACAGGAUUAGAUACCCUGGUAGUCCACGCCCUAAACGAUGUCAACUAGUUGUUGGGNAAGGAGACUUUCUUAGUAACGUAGCUAACGCGUGAAGUUGACCGCCUGGGGAGUACGGCCGCAAGGUUAAAACUCAAAGGAAUUGACGGGGACCCGCACAA
rnacentral:rRNA from 1 species